rnacentral:rRNA from 1 species
GAUGAACGCUGGCGGCGUGCUUAACACAUGCAAGUCGAACGAUGAAGCUCAGCUUGCUGGGUGGUUUAGUGGCGAACGGGUGAGUAACACGUGAGUAACCUGCCCUUAACUCUGGGAUAAGCCUGGGAAACUAGGUCUAAUACCGGAUAGGAGCGCCUACCGCAUGGUGGGUGUUGGAAAGAUUUAUCGGUUUUGGAUGGACUCGCGGCCUAUCAGCUUGUUGGUGAGGUAAUGGCUCACCAAGGCGACGACGGGUAGCCGGCCUGAGAGGGUGACCGGCCACACUGGGACUGAGACACGGCACAGACUCCUACGGGAGGCAGCAGUGGGGAAUAUUGCACAAUGGGCGAAAGCCUGAUGCAGCGACGCCGCGUGAGGGAUGACGGCCUUCGGGUUGUAAACCUCUUUCAGUAGGGAAGAAGCGAAAGUGACGGUACCUGCAGAAGAAGCACCGGCUAACUACGUG